GACGAACGCUGGCGGCGUGCUUAACACAUGCAAGUCGAACGGAAAGGCCCUGCUUGCAGGGUACUCGAGUGGCGAACGGGUGAGUAACACGUGGGUGAUCUGCCCUUCACUUCGGGAUAAGCUUGGGAAACUGGGUCUAAUACCGGAUAGGAGCCAUCUUUAGCGUGGUGGUUGGAAAGUUUUUUCGGUGUAGGAUGAGCUCGCGGCCUAUCAGCUUGUUGGCGGGGUAAUGGCCUACCAAGGCGGCGACGGGUAGCCGGCCUGAGAGGGUGUACGGCCACAUUGAGACUGAGAGACGGCCCAGACUCCGACGGGAGGCAGCAGUGGGGAAUAUUGCACAAUGGGCGCAGGCCUGAUGCAGCGACGCCGCGUGGGGGAUGAAGGCCUUCGGGUUGUAGACUCCUUUCGCUAGGGACGAAGCUUUUUGUGACGGUACCUAGAUAAGAAGCACCGGCUAACUACGUG
rnacentral:rRNA from 1 species